AUUGAACGCUGGCGGCAGGCCUAACACAUGCAAGUCGAGCGAGCGGCGGACGGGUGACUAAUGUAUGGGGACUGCCCGAUCGAGGGGGAUAACUACUGGAAACGGUGGCUAAUACCGCAUACUAUCGGAUAACCCAUAUGGGAUUAGCUAGUAGGUGGGGUAAAGGCUCACCUAGGCGACGAUCCCUAGCUGGUCUGAGAGGAUGAUCAGCAACACGGGGACUGGGAAAGGGCCCGACCUCCUACGGAGGCAGCAUGGGGAAAUAUUGCACAAGGGGGGCAAGCCUGAUGCGGCCAGGCCGGGUGGAUGAGGAAGGCCUUGGGGUUGUAAAGUACUUUAAGGGGGAGGCGUUACCCGCAGAAGAAGCACCGGCUAACUCCGUGCCAGCAGCCGCGGUAAUAC
rnacentral:rRNA from 1 species